rnacentral:rRNA from 1 species
CCUACGGGCGGCAGCAGUGAGGAAUAUUGGUCAAUGGUCGGGAGACUGAACCAGCCAAGCCGCGUGAGGGAUGAAGGUACAGAGUAUCGUAAACCUCUUUUGUCAGGGAACAAAGGCGGGGACGUGUCCCCGGAUGAGUGUACCUGAUGAAAAAGCAUCGGCUAACUCCGUGCCAGCAGCCGCGGUAAUACGGAGGAUGCGAGCGUUAUCCGGAUUUAUUGGGUUUAAAGGGUGCGCAGGCGGUCUGUUAAGUCAGCGGGAAAAGCCCGGGGCUCAACCCCGGCCCGCCGUUGAAACUGGCAGUCUCGAGUUGGAGAGAAGUAUGCGGAAUGCGCGGUGUAGCGGUGAAAUGCAUAGAUAUCGCGCAGAACUCCGAUUGCGAAGGCAGCAUGCCGGCUCCACACUGACGCUGAGGCACGAAAGCGUGGAUAUCGAACAGGAUUAGAUACCCCUGUAGUC